UGUUAGUGAUCUUAUUACUAUCAUUUAAAAAGUUCCUCUGAAGCUCAGGCUGGUUUUAUUUUUCAGGCUUUGCCCAUUGAAGCUCCAACAGGAAGAAAGGAAAACCACUUCUAGAAGCUUCCUCUUAGUCCUUGUGAUUUCAAGGGAAGAAAAAAGGAGAGAGAUUAAAAUAUUUACACAAGUCUGAUUGUUUGCCUUUACAUCCUGGAAGACACAUAGUAGCAGAAAGCAGACAAACAUCUGUAAGUGUUUAGAGUGGGGAAAAAGAAACAAUUAGGUUUCAACUAGAGCCUGUCCAGAGAUUGGGGGGAUCCAGAACGAUCAGGCUUCCGCCCUACUUAUAUUGCUCUGCUCUGCUGUGGCUGCAAGAGGAAGUGAGUGGCCUUUGGGUCCUUGAUGUUAAUCCAAGUCUCUUUGAUACUGAGUGAAAGGCAUCAUCGCCCACAAAAGCUUCCCAUAUGUGUCAGCAGGGGGUGCUGUGCCCCCAGAUACCGGACUGCAGCCAAGCCGCCACUGAAAAGGAUAAUGGAAGACUUUAUUUCAACUGGACCUUCUCUCCCGCACUCCCGCCCUUUCCCCUCAAUCUCCCCCCCUCCCUUCCCCAAAGCAGUGGCUGCGGGUAUUAGCGCAGCUGCUUCCCAGGCUCAGGUCGAGCCUUUCAGUAUUUCUCAUCAAAACUGUCGUCUAGGAAUCAGGAGGAAGAUGUUGGCUUAGGAGCAGUGAAAGAUGAAACUACUUGGACAGUCCUUCCAAACCAAUCUUUAAAAAGCACCUCAAGAUGACCAGAAUCAAAAAACCAACAGCAAGAUGGAGUGAGGCUACUUUCCGACUGAACACAACUUGAAAGGUAGGCAGAAACAGCUGAUUUUCACAGGAUAAGGAGGAACCGGAAGCAAAAUUACAUAUAGAGGAGUGCUGGCCAACGCUUGCCCACCUAUUACACCAGAUUCUGAGGCUGGGCAUAGGCAAACUCUGGGAUCCCAGGGCCCUGCCUAUACUAACAACAGAGCACCCCACACCCAAGACCCACCCCUUGAAUUCCCAGAUCCCAUUAACCACCUGUAGCAAAGCCUAGAAGUCCAUAGUGCUUGGCCCUUUCAAGUCUGUAGCUAUGGUAAAUCCCUUAGGCCCAGGACAGCUAGGACUGUUGAGUCCUGUAAGCCAUCAGUGGAGGAGAGAGAAUUAGCAGCUUUCAGAAUUCCCAAUCCAUUAGCAAAAACAGGCUGGGAAAAUGAGCAAAUAGCAAAAGAAACACCUAGCCCUAGAAUAUUUCUACAGUGACAAAGAGCAAGGCAUAACCAGUAGGGGAUGAUGAGAUCCAAGCAACCACAUGUAAAACUCCAGAGAAAAAUGGGAAUUGGUCUCAGGAACUGGAAAAACUAGAAAAGGAAUUCAAUCCAAAAAGAUAGUUUGAAGAAAAAUGGGGAAAAAUGAAAAUAAUGCAAAAAUGUUAUUUACAUGAUAGAAUGUAGAAUGGAUUUAAUCUAAGAAGAUGCAAUAAAUAGAGAUAAAUGUAAAAUCUAUUGGAGGGG
ensembl:lncRNA